rnacentral:rRNA from 1 species
AGCGAACGCUGGCGGCAGGCUUAACACAUGCAAGUCGAGCGGGCAUAGCAAUAUGUCAGCGGCAGACGGGUGAGUAACGCGUGGGAACGUACCUUUUGGUUCGGAACAACACAGGGAAACUUGUGCUAAUACCGGAUAAGCCCUUACGGGGAAAGAUUUAUCGCCGAAAGAUCGGCCCGCGUCUGAUUAGCUAGUUGGUGAGGUAAUGGCUCACCAAGGCGACGAUCAGUAGCUGGUCUGAGAGGAUGAUCAGCCACAUUGGGACUGAGACACGGCCCAAACUCCUACGGGAGGCAGCAGUGGGGAAUAUUGGACAAUGGGCGCAAGCUUGAUCCAGCCAUGCCGCGUGAGUGAUGAAGGCCCUAGGGUUGUAAAGCUCUUUUGUGCGGGAAGAUAAUGACGGUACCGCAAGAAUAAGCCCCGGCUAACUUCGUG